rnacentral:rRNA from 1 species
UAGGGAAUCUUAGACAAUGGGCGAAAGCCUGAUCUAGCGAUGCCGCGUGUGUGACGAAGGCCUUAGGGUCGUAAAGCACUUUCGCCAAGGAUGAUAAUGACAGUACUUGGUAAAGAAACCCCGGCUAACUCCGUGCCAGCAGCCGCGGUAAUACGGAGGGGGUUAGCGUUGUUCGGAAUUACUGGGCGUAAAGCGCACGUAGGCGGACUAGUCAGUCAGAGGUGAAAUCCCAGGGCUCAACCCUGGAACUGCCUUUGAUACUGCUAGUCUUGAGUUCGAGAGAGGUGAGUGGAAUUCCGAGUGUAGAGGUGAAAUUCGUAGAUAUUCGGAGGAACACCAGUGGCGAAGGC